CAAUAGCGUAUAUUAAAGCUGUUGCGGUUAAAAAGCUCGUAGUUGGAUUUCUGUCAAGGACAACUGGUCCGCCCUCCGGGUGAGCACAUAGUUUGGUCUUGGCAUCUUUCUGGAAACUGUUGCUGCGCUUGGUUGUGUGGUGCAGCUUUCAGCACUUUCACUUUGAGGAAAUUGGAGUGUUUCAAGCAGGCACAUGCCUUUGGACACAGUAGCAUGGAAUAAUUAGAUUGGGCUUUUGCUCCAACUUGUUGGUUCCUGGAGCUGAGGUGAGAAUCAAUGGGGAUUGUUGGGGGCAUCCGAAUUUAGCCGUCAGAGGUGAAAUUCUUGGAUCUGCUAAAGACGGACAACUGCGAAAGCGUUUGCCCAGGAUGUUUUCAUUGA
rnacentral:rRNA from 1 species